CAGUCGCCGCGGUAACACGUAGGUGGCAAGCGUUGUCCGGAAUUAUUGGGCGUAAAGGGCUCGCAGGCGGUUUCUUAAGUCUGAUGUGAAAGCCCCCGGCUCAACCGGGGAGGGUCAUUGGAAACUGGGAAACUUGAGUGCAGAAGAGGAGAGUGGAAUUCCACGUGUAGCGGUGAAAUGCGUAGAGAUGUGGAGGAACACCAGUGGCGAAGGCGACUCUCUGGUCUGUAACUGACGCUGAGGAGUGAAAGCGUGGGGAGCAAACAGGAUUAGAUACCCCUGUAGUCCCUGUCUCUUAUAC
rnacentral:rRNA from 1 species